UCGCUUCAGUGUCGGCUCCCGAGAGCCCGAGAGCUCGCUCUAUUGAGGGCUCCUGCUCCCGAGUAUAGCCUACGGUGGGCUCCUGCUCCCAAGUAUAGCCCACGGAGGGCUCCUGUUCCCAAGUAUAGCCCAGGGAGUGCUCCUGAUCCCCCGUCGAGCCCAGGGA